rnacentral:rRNA from 1 species
CCUACGGGUGGCAGCAGUGGGGAAUAUUGCACAAUGGGGGAAACCCUGAUGCAGCGACGCCGCGUGAGCGAAGAAGUAUCUCGGUAUGUACAGCUCUAUCAGCAGGGAAGAAAAUGACGGUACCUGACUAAGAAGCCCCGGCUAACUACGUGCCAGCAGCCGCGGUAAUACGUAGGGGGCAAGCGUUAUCCGGAUUUACUGGGUGUAAAGGGAGCGUAGACGGCAGCACAAGUCUGGAGUGAAAUGCCGGGGCUUAACCCCGGAACUGCUUUGGAAACUGUGCAGCUAGAGUGCAGGAGAGGUAAGUGGAAUUCCUAGUGUAGCGGUGAAAUGCGUAGAUAUUAGGAGGAACACCAGUGGCGAAGGCGGCUUACUGGACUGUAACUGACGUUGAGGCUCGAAAGCGUGGGGAGCAAACAGGAUUAGAUACCCCUGUAGUC